UGGGGAAUUUUGCACAAUGGGGGAAACCCUGAUGCAGCGACGCCGCGUGAUUUAGAAGGCCUUCGGGUUGUAAAAAUCUUUUGUAUAGGAAGAAAAUGACAGUACUAUACGAAUAAGGACCGGCUAAUUACGUGCCAGCAGCCACGGUAAUACGUAAGGUCCGAGCGUUGUCCGGAAUCAUUGGGCGUAAAGGGUACGUAGGCGGGUAAGCAAGUUAGAAGUGAAAUCCUAUAGCUCAACUAUAGUAAGCUUUUAAAACUGCUCAUCUUGAGGUAUGGAAGGGAAAGUGGAAUUCCUAGUGUAGCGGUGAAAUGCGCAGAUAUUAGGAGGAAUACCGGUGGCGAAGGCGACUUUCUGGCCAUAACCUGACGCUGAGGUACGAAAGCGUGGGUAGCAAACAGG
rnacentral:rRNA from 1 species